rnacentral:rRNA from 1 species
UACGGGGGGGGCAAGCGUUGUUCGGAAUUACUGGGCGUAAAGGGCGCGUAGGCGGUCAGACCAAGUCGAGUGUGAAAUUCCAGGGCUUAACUCUGGCGCGCUCGCUCGAUACUGGUCGGCUAGAGUGUGGAAGAGGAUGCUGGAAUUCCCGGUGUAGCGGUGAAAUGCGUAGAUAUCGGGAAGAACACCCGUGGCGAAGGCGGUUCUCUGGGACGGUACUGACGCUGAGACGCGAAAGCGUGGGGAGCGAACAGG